UCCUGAGUAAAAGGAAUAUUUCAUAGGAAAUAUGAGACAAGAUCAUUUCCUUGCAGGAUAAAGCAUAACAGGGAAGGAUUUGUGGGGAUAUUCUCAGAGCACUCACUCACUGCUUCUCACGGACUCCCGGGCUACAGAGAAAUACCCAGCACACCCUAGGGCAUUCUCCAGAAAAAACUGGUGGAGAGAACUCCAGAUACACAGAAAAACCUUAAACAGUUUUGCAAACUAUAGGGUGUCUAGGAAGUCGAUUAAAGUUCAUCCUUAUCACCCCAUAAGUGGUUACCAGCCCCAGGAAGAUGGACGACUGGGCUCUUCGCCAGAUCAAAUUCUCUCCAUUAGGCAGUUUGGAGGGUAUGAAGCAUCCAGCAGGUUGGAUGUUGACCCACAGGCAUCAAUCUCGGACAAUUUUUUGUUGGCUUAUUGACUGUGAUGAUCCCUCAGCACCAAAGAAAACCACCAGACGGAAGAAGAGAGC